rnacentral:lncRNA from 1 species
UAUACCUUUACCAGCCUUUUCUAUUGCCAUUGCAAUCAGUUUACCAUACUCCUCCUUUUCUCAUUAGUGACUUAAAUAAAUAUUUGGUGAUUAGUUACUAUAUAUAUAUUUGAAGAUUAUGCUUUGAUAGCUUUUAAGGUACUCCAGUGGCUUAGCAAGAGCUACAAAGUGAGAAGGUGUUCACUUUAUUAUCAUCUGGUGCAUUCCUGAACGGGACCUCGCUAACCUUUCUCAGGAGAGAGUCUGUGAGUGGACAAUGUCCAGAUACAUGCAAGACCCAUUUAGGAAUACAGAUCUCAAGAGAGAGUUAUCUGUGCUCAGCUUAAUUCCACUCACCUCCGUGUCCCAAGUGGGACACAUGUGCUUUCAGAUUUGUGGCAAUCUUUAUAGCUAGGAAAACAACUCCCAAUUACUCAGUUCAAUUCCCUCUCUUGCUGAAGAGUUGGGAAGCAUAUGAUAAAAGCUAUGUCCAGGCAAACUGCAGGUGUCAUAGGGAGAGGAAGCCUAUUUUAAAGUCAAAAUCCCUAUCUACUUCCUACCCACCUCAGCCACAACAAUAUGCUUAUUCUUGUAAUGCUGUUCUAAAGAUUUCAGGUUUCUGGGUCUAUUAUCACUCAUCCUUUUCCAAGUCCAGGUAAUUGAAUGCCUGAGGACACCAGGUGCUGUUUCUCAGUUGAUAGAAGCUGCUAGAUCUUCCAUGACUGUUGAUUUUUAUCAGGGUAAAAUUAAGUGGGGGAAAAAUACUGGAGGGGACACUGUUGUCAGAAAUCAGUCCCCCCACACCCCUCCCAAUCAGAGCUUUAAUCAGACAGGAACCUUUUACUAUUUCCCACUUUUGAGUUUCCUUAAAUGGAGUUCAAUGCUUAUCACCUGAUGGGAGUUUCUUAGCACUAAGUAUGUGCCAGGGGCUCCCCGAGGAACGAUGAUCGAUGAUCCUAAGAACAAAGUGGAAAGAAGGAUGUAAAGAGAUGAUGUUCUUUACCUGAGAUCGACGUGCAGAACAAAGUGGAGAUAGAAGGUAGCUAACUCACUGCGGCGCAACGGAUUUUGUUGGUAAUUGGCGUUGCUUGGUUCUAAAAAGGCUAAGGAAACCAAUAACAAUAAACUGUGUACACAAUUCCAAACACGUUAAAGACGAUGGAGUCGGAUUACAGGGGGAAAGGCACUUCAAGUAAUGCUAUUUUGGGUUGGAAAACAAUGCUCCAGGUGAGGCUCGAACUCACAACCUCGGCAUCACUCGCACACAUACUGCCAUAUAAGUACCGCGCGCUAACCGAUUGCGCCACUGGAGCACCCAGUUUCUACUUCCGGUCACUCCUUACACAGCCUACACAGGAACAUCCGGCGUGUUUGCUCUGGUCGUCACAGCACCGGUUCCUCGGGCGCGCGCCCUUAGUCCUGGGGCCGCUUCUCCCCCGGACGCGUGCGAAGGCGGACUGGGUUCCGCUGCGGUCUCCACGGGAGCCACCGGUCCUGAAAGCGCGGAGCAUGCUUUGUUUGCGGAAACGAAAGCGAAUACUUCUUUCCAAGGAGACUUAGGAAAGGGCAGACGCUCCCACUGCCUCAGGUGUUCCCUGGAGGACCUUCAAGUGGCCGCCGUGUGGGCGGGCUAGCGUCCCGCUGCUGCGCUGGUUCCGGAGCCCUUCCCUUGCCUCUCCCAGGGUCCUUCUCCCAGCGUCGGAGGAAGGCCCGCAGUCUGCGAGUGGAGUGCGGGUGGUGGGAAUCCCUGGGAGGAUUACGAAAUCCUUAAAGUGGGAUUUACCAAACGCAUUCCUUUCCGCUCACUUCCGUUCCCGCUUAACAAACGUGUUGGAAACGUGUUGCUACUGAAAGGAAGUGGCGCUGGGCUGCAUUUUCUGUGGCUAGUCUGCGAGAAACAGCCCUGGAAUAGGGCCUCUAUUUCUUCCUUGGAGCAUCCCUCCCCGGGACCUGGGAGUUGAAACUCUAGGCUAAAGCAACUGAAGCAGGCCCAGGACUGGGUCUCUGAAAUUCAUGGUGUCUCUACGCUGAGUUAAACUAAGUUUUUCAGAAAAUGUCUAACUAGGCUAAAGACCUUGUGCUUCAGAGUGUUUUGAGAGGAGAGUUUGGGGAAAAGGGCUCUCUCUAGAAGGUAAAUUUGUAUGGGAGAUGGGGAGUGUGUGUUUACACGGAGUAUCGGGCGUCUUUCUUAUGGGUGGACAUUGUGGAUAAGAAUGAGAUAUUAAGGCAGAAUUAGCUGGGCUUUUAAUCCCAAACAGUGUUUUAAAAAUAAAAACUAUAUAUUUAAGGUGUACAACAUGAUGUUUUGAUACAUGUACACAGUGAAAUGAUUUCUACAGUCAAGCUAAUUAACAUAAUACAUCUCUUCACAGUUACUAUUUUGUGUAAGUGGUGAGAGCGCAUGAAAUGUACUCUCCGCAAGUUUCCAAUGCACAAUGCAGUAUUAACUAUAGUUAUGCUAUGCAUUACAUCUCUAGACUUAUUCAUCCUAUAGAACUGCAACUUUGUAUCCUUUGACCAACAUCUUAACCAUUUCCAUACGUCUCCACCCCUGGUAACCACUGUUCUACUCUGCUUCUAUGUAUUUGACUUUUUUAGAAUCCACAUAAGAGAUCAUGCAGUAUUUUUCUUGCUGUGUCUGGCUUGUUUCACUUAGCAUAAUGACAUCGAGGUUCAUCCAUGUUGCAAACAGCAGGAUCUUCUUUAUUAAGGAUGAAUAAUAUUCUAUUGUGUGUAUAAACUAUAUGUGCUUUAUCCAUUCAUUGGUGGACAGCCACUUAGGUCGAUUCCAUAUCUUAGUUAUUGUGAAUAAUGUUUCAAUGAAGAUGGGCAUGCAGUUAUUGCUUCGAGAUCCUGAUUUCAUUUCCUUUGCGGAUGUGAACACCGAAAAUUUGAGACACGUUUCAGUUAAUUUAGAAAGUUUAUUUUGCGAAGGUUGAGGACACACCCCUGUGACACAGCCUCAGGGAGUUCUGACUACCUGUGCCCAAGGUAAUCGGGGCACAGCUUAGUUUUAUACAUUUUAGGGACACAUGAGACAUCAGUCAAUAUAUGUAAGAAGUACAUUGGUUCCAUCCAGAAAGGCGGGGACAAAGCAGGGAGGGGGCUGCCAGGUCUUACUUUUGAGUUUCUGAUAAACCUUUCCAAAGGAGGCAAUCAGAGUAUGCAUCUAUCUCAGUGAGCAGAGGGAUGACUUUGAAUAGAAUGGGAGGCAAGUUUGCACUGAGCAGUUUCCAGCUUGAAUUUUCCUUUUAGCUAGUGAUUUUGGGGGUGCAAGAUAUUUUACUUUCACAGUAUAUACCCAGAAAAGGUACUGCUGGAUCAUGUGGUAGUUCUAUUUGUAAUUUUCUGAGGAACAGCCAUACUGCUGUUUUCCAUAAAGGCGGUACUAAUUUGCAUUCCCACUCAUAAUGUAAAAGGGUUCCCUUUUCUCUACAUUGCCAACACUUGUUAUUUUUUAUAUUUUUAAAUUGGUUAUUCUAACAGGUCUGAGAUGAUGUCUCAUUGUGGGUUUGAUUUGCAUUUCCAUGAUGAUUAGAGAUGUUGAGCAUUUUUUCUAUUGGCCAUUUUUUAUGUCAUC